UGUCUCUUACGGACUAGCCAAUGAAAUUGAUCCUUCAGUACAAAAGCUGGAAUUAGCCCAUAAGACGAGAAGACCCUGUGGAGCUUCAAAACCAAAAUCACCAAACAUGCUUCAUGGGUUUUUAGUUGGGGCGACUUUGGAGCAAAAAAAACCCUCCAAACAUAAAUCUAUUUAUUAAGACUAACACACCAAAAAAAUAUUAUAGACCCAGCAGUAUCUAUUUACUGUCUGACCAAUGAACCAAGUUACCCCAGGGAUAACAGCGCCAUCCUCUUCUAGAGUCCUUAUCGACAAGAGGGUUUACGACCUCGAUGUUGGACC
rnacentral:rRNA from 1 species